rnacentral:rRNA from 1 species
GGAGGACACUGCUAUUGGGAUUCGAUUAAGCCAUGCGAGUCUUUGAUCGUAAGAUCAAGGCGAAUUGCUGAGUAACAUGUAGUUAAUCCACCCUUAAGUUUGGAAUAACCUUGGGAAACUGAGAUGAAUACCAAAUAAGGUAUAAAAUCUGGAACGAUUUAUAUCAUAAAGUUUCGACGCUUAAGGACGAGACUGCACUGGAUUAGGUUGAUGUUAGGGUAAAUGCCUAACAUGCCUAUAAUCUAUAACGGCCGUGAGAGCGGGAGCCGUCAGAUGGGUUCUGAGACAUUAACCCAGGCCCUACGGGGCGCAGCAGGCGCGAAAACUCCGCAAUGCACGUAAGUGUGACGGGGGAAUCUCAAGUGCUAGCACUUAUUUAGGUGUUAGCUUUUCUCAAGUUUAAGUCGCUUGUGGAAUAAGUGAUGGGUAAGACCGUUGCCAGCCGCCGCGGUAAUAACGGCGUCACAAGUGGUGUCCACGAAUAUUGGGUCUAAAGCGUUCGUAGCCGGUUUAGUGAGUCUCCUGUGAAAUUUAACAGAAAACUGUUAAGCGUGCAGAAGAUACUACUGAACUUGGAACUGGAAGGAGUUAAGGGUACUCCAGGGGUAGUGGUGAAAUGCUCUAAUCCCUGGGGGACCACCUGUGGCGAAGGCGCUUAACUAGUACAGAUUCGACGGUGAGGAACGAAAGCUGGGGGAGCGACACGGAUUAGAUACCCGUUUAGUCCCAGCUGUAAACGAUGUCUGCUUGGCAUUAGAGAUCUCUUGGGGAUUUCUAGUGCCGAAGGGAAGCCGUUAAGCAGACCACCUGGGGAGUACGAUCGCAAGAUUGAAACUUAAAGGAAUUGGCGGGGGAGCACCACAAGGGGUGCAGUCUGCGGUUUAAUUGGAUAAUACGCCGGGAAACUUACCAGGAGCGACAGCCGAAUGAUGGUCAGUCUGAAGGGCUUACCUGACGCGCUGAGAGGUGUUGCAUGGCCGACGUCAGCUCGUGCCGUGAGGUGUCCUGUUAAGUCAGGUAACGAGCGAGACCCGUAUCUUAUGUUGCUACUAUAUCCUCCGGGGUAUAGGCACUCAUAAGAGAUUGCCAGCGAUAAGUUGGAUGAGAGUGCGGGCUACGUUAGGUCCGUAUGGCCUGAAUCUCCUGGGCUACACGCGGGCCACAAUGGUAAGGACAAUGAGACGCUACUCCGAAAGGAGACGCAAAUCCCCUAAACCUUAUCUUAGUACUGCUCGAGGGUUGCAACUCACCCUCGUAAUGCCGGAAUCCCUAGUAGUCGAAAGUUAGCAUCUUUCGGCGAAUACGUCCCUGCUCCUUGCACACACCGCCCGUCAAACCACCCGAGUUGGAAUUUGAUGAGGUUCUGUCGUCUGGCAGAAUCGAACCAGGAUCUAGCAAGGGGGGUU